rnacentral:ncRNA from 7 species
GCCUGUCUAGCUUAGUCGGUAGAGUGCAAGGCUUUUAACCUUGUGGUCGUGGGUUCGAGCCCUUCGUUUUUUU